rnacentral:rRNA from 1 species
GGAGGGGCCUGCGUCCCAUCAGCUAGUUGGUAGGGUAAUGGCCUACCAAGGCUAUGACGGGUAGGGGACCUGAGAGGGUGGCCCCCCACAAUGGAACUGAAACACGGUCCAUACACCUACGGGUGGCAGCAGUAGGGAAUAUUGGUAAUGUGCGAAAGCGCGAACCAGCAACGCCGCGUGCACGAUGAAGGCCUUCGGGUCGUAAAGUGCUUUUAGAGAGGAUGAGGAAGGACAGUACUUUCUGAAUAAGCCUCGGCUAACUACGUGCCAGCAGCCGCGGUAAAACGUAGGAGGCAAGCGUUAUCCGGAUUUACUGGGCGUAAAGCGCAUGCAGGUGGUUUUGUAAGUUGGAUGUGAAAGCUCCUGGCUUAACUGGGAGAGGUCGUUCAAAACUACAAGACUUGAGAUUGGUAGAGGAAAAUGGAAUUCCGGGUGUAGUGGUGAAAUGCGUAGAUAUCCGGAGGAACACCAGUGGCGAAAGCGGUUUUCUGGACCAAUUCUGACACUCAGAUGCGAAAGCUAAGGUAGCAAACGGGAUUAGAGACCCCGGUAGUCUUAGCUGUAAACUUUUUAACUUGGCGUCGGUGGGUUCAAAUCCAUCGGUGCCGAAGCAAACGCGAUAA